AUGUGCUGGGCUCAGAGCAGUCACACCCGUCCGUGGGACACACCAGCCUGGAGUCAGCACAGAGCCCUGAGUCCUGUCUCCCCGGCCGCCGCAGGAACAUGCUGGUGUGGAAACCGUGAGGCAAACGUAUUUGCUGACCGGAGCGCUGCAGGUGCUGCCUCGGGCAGGAAGCCUCGCUGUGGCCGCCGGGGCCGUGAUGCCGUGACCCACAGAGAUGGUCGUGGUAAGUCCACACCUCCAGCAUUGGGCCCGGGGUGGAUGCUGAGCUCCAGGGAACCCAGAGCUUCUCUCCCAGCACCUGCCACCCAGGCAGGACUUCCCUCAAUGGCCUGCGGCAGCAGCACCCUCUGGGCAAGCAUAUCCGCUGGAAUGGAACCGCUGCAGCAGGUUCUGCAAAAGGCGAAAGCAGUUGCGCUGUACUAUUCGGGGUCCCUGUGGGCACUGAAGCAAUUUGUCACCACAGGCAGGACAGAUGCGGAGACCGAGUAUAGCCAGGAGGCUCCAGGUGGAGCCCCCUUUGCGGGUCUCAUCAAUCAAGGCCUCACCUGCUACCUCAACGCCCUCCUGCAGUGUCUCUUUCUGACGCCUGAAUUCCGAGACAGGAUCCAGGAGAAGCCUUGGGCCUCCCAGCCCGAGCAGGCUCUUGGCCAGAUCUUCAGGGGGCUGCAGAGGCGGUGUGGACCUGUGCCAACGAAUGCCCUCACCACCUGCCUGGGUCUGCACGGUGAGUGGACAUUGGGAGGCUCAGGGACAGGGCACCAGGCAGAGGUGGAGCCCAGACCCUGAGAUCCCACGAAGGGCUGCGUGUCCCCCUGAGGGGUCUGCACCACCCCUGACCCGGUGCCACCGGGGAGCAGCAUUCAGCGAAAGUUGGGAGAAGGCGGUUGCAAGAUGGCCAGAGGCCUGCGUGGGGUGGGUUCCAGGGAAGAGUCAGGAGCAGAGAGGCUGACCCAUGGCUGGGGCGGACCUCUUUCCUGGACACCUCGGCAUACAGUCUGUGACUCACCUGCCCAAGAAGCAUCCUGGGGCUUCGCACCGUUGGGAGGGGAGGAAGCGGGACCUUGGGGAGUCACCAAUGUAACCCAGGCGUGUGCUGGCCCGAGGAAGACACUGCUGGGAGUGUCUAGACAAUAGGAGCCCUCUCAGCCACCCGGGGCUGGGACACUGCGGUCCAUGAGCUGAUGGUGGCAGCAAUCGCCAAGUGUGGGGGGUGUUGUCAGGAGACUGGGGGUAGGGCUAAGGGACACUCACUCCGUCAGCAGGAGGGACGUCCACCUUGUGCCAGGCUGGGUUUAGAGACUCUGCCAAGGAGAAAUGUCCACACUCUAGAGGGUGGGUCAGAGGGAAGGGCCAGUGGCCAGGCUACAGCCGGGCCCCACCCCAGGCCCCAGGGACAGCUGGGCAGUCAGCCUGUCAUUCCAGGGCUGACUCAGAGGCUGGGCCUGAGGGUGCUCCACUGCCCAGCCAGGCUGUCCCUGUUGCUCUCUGAGUGCCCAGUGCCGCUCCUGAAGUUGGCUCAGGGCCGAUUUGCUGAAGGAAUGAGUGAAUCAGUGAACGGACAAAGGAGUGAACAAAUGCUGGAGCUUGGCCUGGGGCCCCUGGUCAGGAGGGGAGGGCAGAGCAGGAGGAGAAGGUCAGAGCAGGAGGGGAGGUCAGAGCAGGAGGGGAGGGUCAGAGCAGGAGGGAGGGUCAGAGCAGGAGAAGGUCAGAGCAGGAGGGGAGGGUCAGAG
rnacentral:lncRNA from 1 species